GCCAAGUGACCUCUUGAUAGCGGCAAACGGGUGAGUAACACGUGAGCAACCUACCNUUAAGACAGACAUAGCUUCGUGAAAACGGAGGUAAUUCCUGAUGAUAUCAUUAGGAUGCAUAUCCUGAUGAUCAAAGGCGGGGACCGCAAGGCCUGCUGCUUAGGGAUGGGCUCGCGUCCUAUCAGCUAGUUGGCGGGGUAACGGCCCACCAAGGCGUUUGACGGGUAGCUGGUCUGAGAGGAUGGUCAGCCACACUGGGCCUGAGACACUGCCCAGACUCCUACGGGAGGCUGCAGUCGAGAGUAUUUAGCAAUGGGCGAAAGCCUGACUAUGCGACGCCGCGUGAAGGAUGAAGGUUUUCGGAUUGUAAACUUCUUUUGUCAGGGAAGAAACCUUUUGCUCUAACAGAUCAAGAGCUGACGGUACCUGAUGAAUAAGCCACGGCUAACUCCGUGCCAGCAGCCGCGGUAAUACGGAGGUGGCAAGCGUUACUCGGAAUCAUUGGGUGUAAAGGGCAAGUAGGCGGUUUAAUAAGUGAGGGGUGAAAUCUCUCGACUCAAUCGGGAGACUGCCUUUCAAACUGUUAAACUUGAAGCAGGAAGGGGGAAAUGGAAUUCUCAGUGUAAGGGUGAAAUCUGUAGAUAUUGAGAAGAACACCGGCGGCGAAGGCGAUUUCCUGGUCCUGUCUUGACGCUAAAUUGCGAAAGCUUGGGGAGCAAACAGAAUUAGAUACUCUGGUAGUCCAAGCCGUAAACGAUGAGCACUAGGUGUUGGGCCGUAAGGUCCAGUGCCGCAGCUAACGCAUUAAGUGCUCCACCUGGGGACUACGGUCGCAAGGCUAAAACUCAAAUGAAUUGACGG
rnacentral:rRNA from 1 species